GCAGAGUCUGAAGGAAGAGUGGAGAGACACACAGUCCAAACUGCUCGAGGUCUAGUGUGAAGUUUCCACCAAUCAGUGAUGGUCUGAAAAGUAAAUUACUGAAAUAAAAUAACUUUUCAAUGAUAUUCUACUUAAGAUGCCCUAGCUUGUAGGGGAACCAAAGACAUGAUGCUUAAUAAGGUCAAUAAAUGACAAUAUUAGCUCUGAAACUGCUUGGUAAUAAUCAAAGCCUAUUUUGCACAUACCUGUUUUGAUGUGGUCUGUGUGUAAAAUUGCAUAAGCAAUGAUUGAAGGGUCCAAUAAACACGCCAGGGGUCCUGGUUACCAUGGGGCCCCAGUGAGAUUGCCCUGUUUGCAAUGCCAGUAUUUACGUCACUGAAUACGUGUGUUUUUUUUCUUCUCAACCCUUGUCCUAAGAACCCAAUUCCAUUGUACUCUGUUGUUCAGUGACAAUAAAUGACUUUAUUUAGAUUAAUCUAAUCAGCUCUUCUUGAAAUGUGUGUUAGAAGAAGGUCACUGCUGAAAUUCACAUUUUGUGAAUCAUGUUAAAAGCGUCAGUUUUAUAAAGGGCUUUCCUUGCAGGGCUGUUGUAUGGUUAUGAAAAUAUUAAAUAUUUAAUAUUUCUUGAAGAUUCUUAUUUGUUGAGUUGUUAUUUAAAGCUGAUUGAAGACUAUUCUCCAUACAAAGGUCUUAUAGAGGGGUUUUCUGUAAAAUUAUUAAUUGUAGAGACACAAAAUAAUCAAAAGUGAUCAGGUAUAGCAAUGUCAAAGUCAAAGUCUUGCAAAAACUGCAGUAUACUCUUUCCAAAAAAAUGUCUCUUUGCAGAACAAGUUAUUUUAUUAGUGUUUUCACUCAUUUCUUUGGUUAAUUUUUGGUCAGAGUCAAGACUCUUACAUAACAGUUUGACUCUGGGCCUCUAAAAAUGCCCUGUUCUUCUGUCAUAGCUAUUUUAUUUACUAUUAUCCUACAGUACCAGUCAAAACUUUGGACACACCUUAAAUU